AGAAAAACAGCAAUAGAAGAGAGAGUCAGAUAUCUUGUAAAAUAAUGGAUGAAAGAUAAGGAUUGAAAAAAUGGUGCCAAAAUUAUAGAAUUAAACUGCAUAGCAAAGGUUUAAAGGAAUAAAAGAGUGGCAUAAACUGGGGUGACGAUAGCCGGAAGACACAGAAUAGGGGCUUGGGAGUAGAACAUACUUAAGGCCAGGAUGAAUGGGGGAGAGACUAGAUCGAUUAUUAAAAAUUCCAUUGUUUGAUUCCUGAUUGAUUCAUAUGCUGUCCCUUAUAUAAGAGAACCUACUUGACCUAUAAGUAAAAAUCUAAAUGAUAGAGUCAAUCUCUACUCGAAUCUUAUCAUAUUACAAUGCAAAUAAUAACUCCUUCCUAUUUAAACAAUACACCUUACUAAUUAGAAUAUUACCCAAUUUUAUAUCCACGCGAAUAAUAACAACCUGCCCCUUUACCAGAAGCUCGUCCUCGAGCUGCUCAAUCAGAGGCCAUGGUUGCAACCCAAGGUGGUUAUAAGGCAUGCACGGGUACCUAGAUCAUCGAUUUGACCAACUAAACAUGAGUUGUAUGCCACACAAAAUAUACCAUUAAAAACUAUGGUAUAAUAAGUUUCUAACAGUAUACGUUUUGUGACACAGAACUCAUAUUUUGUUGGGCAAAUCAAUGACCUAGGUACGGGCGUGUGCCUUAUAAACCGAAAAGGAGGGAGUAGAAUAUUGCCUAUAUCAUAUAUCUGUGCACAUAAUAGCUACUGGCCCCUUGACAAGCAGCUCAUCCUCGAGCCACUCAUGUGGAGGCCAUGGUUGGCACCCAACGUGGUCUUCCUGCAUAAUCGAGCAAGUCGUCGCCCACCAAAACUCAGGUUUUGGACGUUGCGUUUCCUGCUGUAGCUGCCGAUGGGAACCAGCACCGCCUUUGUAACUAGAUGAGAUGCUGUCUCUUGUACUCGCUGUAUCGACACUGUGGCACCUUUUAUCUGAUGUGCCGUUGCCGUUGCGCCUAGCUUUGUGUACAAGGUGGGUAACUACUGCGCCAUGGAAGCUGGACAGCGUAAGAGAUUGGAGAGGGAGACCAAAUUUUAUUAAUUUCUCAUUGCUUAAUUCCUAA